rnacentral:rRNA from 1 species
GGUUCUAGCGUGACGGCCAUCUUAUGGGCGUUUGCAUGGAUCAUCAGGUCAGGCUCAAGCACGAGUGCAACAUGACCUUUCCAGAACAACAGGUCAUUGCGCUGAUAAGGGGUGCCCGCAGGCGGGGCAUAGCCGACCAUUGCCAGCUGCUGGUCGCUGUCGCCGGGGCAAGGGAUGCCGCAAGCAAGAAACGCCGCCUGAACAAGGCCCGAACAAUCAAUGCCCCAACGGCUGUUGCCCCCCCAAAGAUAGGGCGUGCCCAGAAAUAACCGGGCAAUAUCAGCAGGGUCUGACGCAAGAUCGUCUAUCGGUUUCAGGUGCUGGAUCGGGAUGUAGCCUAUUUGGGUUUCGGCAAAACCGGCCACGUG